CCAACAGCCUCUCUUUCAUCCUCUUUGCUGCGCAGCCUUAUGAUAAACACAACACACACACACCCACGAGGCACUGUUGGUCGCGGAGAAGGGGAAGAGGAGAGGAAGCAGUCGCGCCGGUGUACUGGGUUGCACCACCAUCACGUCGCCGCCGUCGCCAACAGAGAGAGAGAGACGCCGUCAUCCUCGUCGCUGGAACCGCAAGGAGCGUCGCUGCCGAGCCCGUCACCGUGUCGUUGUCUUCAUCGACGCCAGCUGAAGAGAGAUGCGACGGAGAGAGAGAAAGGGCCCGCGGAAGGGAAGCGUCGCCGUUCCCUGAGGCCGCACCGUCGUCGCUGUCCAUGGUGACCCACGAGCCGAGAGUGCAAGCGCGGGUGGAGGGCGGCACUGUUGUUGCCGCUGUUUCUCCCAACGGCGCUGCUAUCACUGCCGUGAAUCGCGAUCCGGAGAGGGAGGAGAUGUGAGCCAUGGCCGGAGGGGAGAAGACACUAUAUCUGGAAGCCGCCGUCGUCCUCUCUGCGCCACCGUCGUCCUUGCCACAGGGUCAGCCGCUGUCAUGUAUGGCAGAGUUAGAAAGAGAGAGUUCGGGAGCAGAGCAAGAGAGAGAGAGAGAUUUGAAGCUGGGUUGGGAGUCCAACCACCGUGUCCAGCCGCUGUUUGUGUCGCCGGUGCCACCUCUGCCGGAGCUACCGCCAUCAAAAAGGGGUUUCGACCGCUGUAGGUGUCGGUGCCGGAAAAGGGAGCUGUGUCUCUGCGAUUCGGAUCGCCGGGAGUGGUUCUGUGACUUCCGGGAGCACCGUCGAAGCUUUUGGCUGUUUUUUCCGUCGUCGGAAAAUUCUAUCGGUAAGGGUCUUAAGUUGGUUUCCUUUCCGUUGAGUUUCUGAGAAUCUCAUUGUCACUGCAUAUGGUUCAUGUCAUCGCUGCCGCUUGAGGUGGCUGCCGGGCUGCCGCCGAAUCGGUUUGGAGACCGCCGCUGUUUCGGUUCAACCGUUUCUUCUUCGGUUCGAGUUGUUGAGACUGUUGCGAAAGUGGCUUGGAACCGAGGUUUUGGCUGCCGGGAUUUUGAUUGUUGAUCUCGGGUCGAGGCGGAAAGGAUUAUGUGACGCGUUUGGACUAUGGAAUUGCGUUUUGAGGAUAUGGGUGCUGAAGUCACGAAGGGUGUAUUUAAUUAUUGUUGUAAUGCUCUGUAUUGUUUCAGUUAUGGUUUAUUGUACCCUCGCCUUUAUCUUGAUAUAUUCUGUAAGAGGGAUAGGAAUUGUAUUGGUUAAUGUUUGUAAUAUUAUUUAUAUAUAUGUAUGUAUAUAUAUGGAUGUACUCUUUAUGAGUUUUUGUAAGUUGUGUGAUAUCUAUGGAUGUACGUUAUCGAAUGAAGUAUCUUGGGAACGAUAUUGUGGUAAAAAGUUUUAAACAGGCUCAUAUUUUAGUAUCAAAUAGUAUAAGUGUCGUCGUAAUGUCUGAGCUAUCAGAGUCGCGCAGCCGGAAGCGUGAGCUUUGGUAGUUAGGGUGUUACACUUCAAAUACUGUCGUGAGAUUUUCACUCUUCUCUCAAUUUGGGUUCUCUCUCCGUAAACUCUGAUGAGAUUCAAUUUUUCUUUUUGUACCUUAGUCAGAGCCACGGUUAGAGUUCCUCUCAAGUCAACUUCUUGGACCUUGGGCUUUCAAAAAUCAUCUUUCUCUUUCUUCAAUCAACCCGUAAAUUAGAAAUUUCAAAUAUGAUUCAUUUGCUUGACUGAGGACAAUAAAACAGCAGAAAUGAGCUUGCCCAGUGAUACUCCCAAAUUCAAACUCUUGAAAUUGUGCUUUAACUCUAAGUAACAAUGUAAGCCAUUGAUUUACAGUAGGGAUAAUCAGAAAUCACUUUCU